GCGGGGAUAGCUCAGCUGGGAGACUAGUGGUAAACUAGCCCAAAAGCGCCGCACUGAAGAUGCGGUUGUCGUGGGUUCAAAUCCCACUCCCCGCACCA
rnacentral:tRNA from 1 species